UACGGAGGGGGCUAGCGUUAUUCGGAAUUACUGGGCGUAAAGCGCACGUAGGCGGACUGAAAAGUCAGAGGUGAAAUCCCAGGGCUCAACCUUGGAACUGCCUUUGAAACUCUCAGUCUUGAGGUCGAGAGAGGUGAGUGGAAUUCCGAGUGUAGAGGUGAAAUUCGUAGAUAUUCGGAAGAACACCAGUGGCGAAGGCGGCUCACUGGACCGGCAUUGACGCUGAGGUGCGAAAGCGUGGGGAGCAGACAGGAUUAGAUA
rnacentral:rRNA from 1 species